rnacentral:rRNA from 2 species
CCGCCGCGGUAAAACCAGCACCUCAAGUGGUCAGGAGGAUUAUUGGGCCUAAAGCAUCCGUAGCCGGCUCUGCAAGUUUUCGGUUAAAUCCAUUUGCUUAACAAAUGGGCUGCCGAAAAUACUACAUAGCUAGGGAGUGGGAGAGGUAGACGGUAUUCGGUAGGAAGGGGUAAAAUCCUUUGAUCUAUUGAGGACCACCUAUGGCGAAGGCAGUCUACCUGAACACGUUCGACGGUGAGGGAUGAAAGCUGGGGGAGCAAACCGGAUUAGAUACCCGGGUAGUCCCAGCUGUAAACGAUGCAGACUCGGUGAUGCGCUGGCUUGUGGCCAGUGCAGUGCCGCAGGGAAGCCGUUAAGUUUGCCGCCUGGGAAGUACGUACGCAAGUAUGAAACUUAAAGGCAUUGGCGGGGCAGCAC